CUUAGACAGUUCAAAAGUCGCUUCAAAUCAAAGCCCCCGGAGUAAAGAGCCGACCCUUCCUCAAUAUCUCUCUUUUGUUAGCCCAGUGCAGCAUAACUCUACUCUUCCCCAAAUAGAAGGUCAAUUCACACGCAUUGGUUGCAGAAUUUAAUUUGGAUUUCCGAGCCGUAAUUACCGCCGCCAAACGCAUGUACUCUCGGUCACCAAGCCAACGACAACAGGUUUUCUGCUCCUGAGAAAAUCCGCAGAGAGUUCACGACUUUGCAGGGAAAGGAUUGGAGCGUCUGAGGAGAGCUUUUUGGUGUUCCAAUUUUGCAGGUAAACUAUCUCAACCAUAACGUUGGCGUUCCCUAGCAGCUACACAACUUCCAAAGCAUGAUAUUAUAAGUCAGUUUACAAACUAAAAUGCUCAUCGCCUUGCCAUUUAUGCUUACUGUAUGUCUUCCUGUGAGGUCUAAGAAGAGAUGUUGCGGCACUUCUAUUAGACUAGGAAAACUAUUUAUCUUUAACCUCCUACUUUUGCCUUUUCCUAUCAAUUAUUUGGUUUUUGAUCUUUCCCAGUUAUUGUCUAUUUGUUGUGCAAUUAGACAUGGGUUAUGAAAAGUUAUAAUUGCUGUCACUUUCUAAAUGGAUAUGAAAAAUUGUAUUUGUUUUUCCCAAAGAGACGUAACUAUAGUCAAUAACUAUUACAAUCAAUAGAUUAAAACUUUUGAUUUGAUCUCAUUUUAUAGUGCGAAUUAUAUCUCUAUUAAUCAAGAGAAGAAAAUAUGUCUAGAGAGAAGGACCUCUCCAUGGACUAGAGAAAGCUGGAGUGCAGAUUUUUCAAAGAAGCAUUGAAUGGUCAGCUUUAUAGCUGAGUAGAAACUGUUGGAGGAAGGAAUCAGAUAGAGAACCUUGGUUUUCCCUGUCGACUGAACAUGUCCUACGAAGAAGGAGAUCGUUGAAGACAUGUGAAGUAGGUGGCUAUGUCAUAUUCCGUAAUCAAUAAAAUUCUUCCCCUAACUGGAAUGGAUGAGACAAGGACUACAUCGAUUUUCAGUACUAUCGCAGAAUAUCUGAAUUUCACUUCAACAAAACAUAGUCAAAUUGAAAAAACUAAUUUGUUCAGCCAAAAACACGAGGUGAGAUGCUUUUAGUUCAUCUUGAGUCAUUAGCAACAUGCUCAAGAGACAUACAAGGACUGUUGCUCCUGCAAACUGCUUUCACUUUUGGGUUCGUGCACCAAAAGUAGCCUCUGCUUCUACAACAGCCUGUCAAAAUAUUAACAUGCAUAAGUGAAAGAAUUGCAGAUUUUGUUGAAAGAAAAAUCCAUGUUUACUAUAUAUCGAGACAAACUCAAUCUACUAAAGUGAAAGGUACUGUGACAAAAUGAUUAGCUAUUAUAUUGCUACCGGAAAAGCUUAUAAUCAUCAUGCAGUCCGAACAAAUGUAUAUCAUUCUAUCGCUAUCAGAAAAGCUCAUAAGCAUCAUGUAGUCCAAACAAAUGUAUAUCAUUCUUUUUUUAUCAGUGAAUGUAUAUCAUUCUUUAACUAA